CAUGAACCCCAAGAGGCAAGGAUGACAGGAGCCAUCUUGAAGGCUGGCGACCACAGAUCCACACCUAACUCCAAACCACCAAAUUACUCGGAGUGUGUGUCGGCCUGCCCACGGUGCGGUGAGCCCAUGUGACUAGACCCCGGACGAUGGACUAAGAGGGAAGAGGACGUGCCUAAGUUCCGGGCUGAGGCCUUAAGAACCCAUGCACUCUUCUCCUGUUACUUUUCCCUGCGGCAACAAGCAAGGAGUCCUCAUUCCAGGGAGUGUGACCGCAUCGUGGUGCUAAUUCCCUUC
rnacentral:lncRNA from 10 species